rnacentral:tRNA from 1 species
GCGAGCGUGGCGAAACUGGCAGACGCACCAGCCUUAGGAGCUGGCUCUCGAAAGGGAAUGGAGGUUCAAGUCCUCUCGCUCGCACCA